rnacentral:rRNA from 1 species
GCUUAAAACAUGCAAGUCGAACGAGGUUAAUUGAAGCUUGCUUCGAGUUGACCGAGUGGCGGACGGGUGAGUAACGCGUGAACAACCUGCCCUAUACACUGGGAUAACGUCUGGAAACGGACGCUAAUACCGCAUAACGUAUUCGGAUUGCAUGAUUUGAAUACCAAAGAUUUAUUGCGCAAGGAUGGGCUCGCGUCUGAUUAGCUAGUUGGUGAGGUAAACGGCCCACCAAGGCGACGAUCAGUAGCCGACCUGAGAGGGUGAUCGGCCACAUUGGAACUGAGAAACGGUCCAAACUCCUACGGGAGGCAGCAGUGGGGAAUAUUGGGCAAUGGGCGCAAGCCUGACCCAGCAACGCCGCGUGAAGGAAGAAGGUCUUCGGAUCGUAAACUUCUAUCCUUGGUGAAGAUAAUGACGGUAGCCGAGAAGGAAGCCCCGGCUAACUACGUG